UCGCGGGACCAGGCUGAGGCCCCAUCUGGAUAAACUGAGUCAGAACCCAAGCACUGACAUGAGACGUGACGCAGUUAUCCGUGGCCUCAUACUAUUCCUUGGUGAAAAAGAAGAGAAACUUUUCGAAGAUUGCCUGGAGGACAAUCGCAGUGAUGCCACUCAACACAUAGUCAAGAUCCUGGUUGUCCAUGGUACUGAUGGAGAAGAACCAGUAGAUGUUUCCAUCAUUCUUGAAGGGAAGGAGGUAUUGACACGAUGCAACAGCACAGCCAAAGCUUCCACGUUGCUAAUGGGACUGAUUUAUUCCCCGAACCUUGCCUACCCCUCGACUCUGCGCUACACCUUUGAGGUGUUUCAAAAACUUUUCCUGGAACUGAAUGGGAUAAAGCUGUCACCAAAAGUACAUCUUUAAAGUUGAAGUUGCUGUCUGAAAGGAGUUUUCUUUCUUAAAUGUUCCUAAUGUUGUCAACAAAGGCAACUGCUGUCAUUCAUGCUCACAAGGUAAAGAAAAAGUUAAAAAUAACCUUUUUUUUAAAAGGUUUUAACAGAGGAUUUGAUGUUGUCCUCAAACUUUAAUGUUUUAACCGAAUGCUAAUAUAAAUAUGUUAAUGGAUGUUGUUGUUUAGAAUGUUGUUCAUGUCAGUACAGCAUAUUUUGUCAGGUCAAACCCUCAAUCUGUUUUGUCACCUGAUGUGCCCUGUUUAGUUUAAUGCGUCCAGGGGUCAAAAACAUUUUGAUUUUCCAGUGAUAUGCUUUUUUUCUGUAUAGCGUAAUGAUCACUCAGUAAAGGUAAACAUUUUUUCUUGAUUGAUGCUUUAUUGAUUUACUGCUGCUGAGAUUUCAUUUAAUUUUUUGUCAUGUGAAAUGUUGACUGCUGUUUCAUGUACAGUUCUACAUAGCUGUAUAAAAUGAGGUGUUACGUAAGGUACCUGACAAAGGUUUAUGAAUAAAUAAUGGAAUUGUAUUUUAGCCGUGUGAUUAUUAAUAGUAUUUGGUAAUAUUUAUCAAAAGAGAAUUUGCAACAUUUACAUAAAUGAAUUAGGUAAUAUAACUUCAAACAACCAAGUAAUUAAAAUGAUCAAACAGAAUAAAAAGUACUUGAUAAUUUUACGACAGUAAAUAUCAAAGAUAAAUAAAAUCUACUCAAUAUUUUGAUGUUGUAAAUGUAUAUGUAUACAAAAAAUAUAGUAUAUUGUACUUAAUUUGUGUGUGUAAUAAAAAUUGAAACAUCAGUUAAACUAAGUAACACUUACCUAAUAUUUUCACAAAUGUUACCAUCAGAAAUAAGUAGAUUUUACUUAAUACUAUUAAGGAA
ensembl:lncRNA